rnacentral:rRNA from 1 species
UACGUAGGGGGCUAGCGUUGUCCGGAAUCAUUGGGCGUAAAGCGCGUGUAGGCGGUUCGGUAAGUCCGCUGUGAAAGUCGGGGGCUCAACCCUCGGAUGCCGGUGGAUACUGUCGAGCUUGAGUACGGAAGAGGCGAGUGGAAUUCCUGGUGUAGCGGUGAAAUGCGUAGAUAUCGAGAGGAACACCUGAGGUGAAGACGGGUUGCUGGGCCGACACUGACGCUGACAGCGCGAAAGCCAGGGGAGCAAACGGG